rnacentral:rRNA from 1 species
GCUUAACACAUGCAAGUCGAGGGGCAGCAUGGUCUUAGCUUGCUAAGGCCGAUGGCGACCGGCGCACGGGUGAGUAACACGUAUCCAACCUGCCGUCUACUCUUGGACAGCCUUCUGAAAGGAAGAUUAAUACAAGAUGGCAUCAUGAGUCCGCAUGUUCACAUGAUUAAAGGUAUUCCGGUAGACGAUGGGGAUGCGUUCCAUUAGAUAGUAGGCGGGGUAACGGCCCACCUAGUCUUCGAUGGAUAGGGGUUCUGAGAGGAAGGUCCCCCACAUUGGAACUGAGACACGGUCCAAACUCCUACGGGAGGCAGCAGUGAGGAAUAUUGGUCAAUGGGCGAGAGCCUGAACCAGCCAAGUAGCGUGAAGGAUGACUGCCCUAUGGGUUGUAAACUUCUUUUAUAAAGGAAUAAAGUCGGGUAUGGAUACCCGUUUGCAUGUACUUUAUGAAUAAGGAUCGGCUAACUCCGUGCCAGCAGCCGCGGCAAUACGGAGGAUCCGAGCGUUAUCCGGAUUUAUUGGGUUUAAAGGGAGCGUAGAUGGAUGUUUAAGUCAGUUGUGAAAGUUUGCGGCUCAACCGUAAAAUUGCAGUUGAUACUGGAUAUCUUGAGUGCAGUUGAGGCAGGCGGAAUUCGUGGUGUAGCGGUGAAAUGCUUAGAUAUCACGAAGAACUCCGAUUGCGAAGGCAGCCUGCUAAGCUGCAACUGACAUUGAGGCUCGAAAGUGUGGGUAUCAAACAGGAUUAGAUACCCUGGUAGUCCACACGGUAAACGAUGAAUACUCGCUGUUUGCGAUAUACUGCAAGCGGCCAAGCGAAAGCGUUAAGUAUUCCACCUGGGGAGUACGCCGGCAACGGUGAAACUCAAAGGAAUUGACGGGGGCCCGCACAAGCGGAGGAACAUGUGGUUUAAUUCGAUGAUACGCGAGGAACCUUACCCGGGCUUAAAUUGCAGAUGAAUUACGGUGAAAGCCGUAAGCCGCAAGGCAUCUGUGAAGGUGCUGCAUGGUUGUCGUCAGCUCGUGCCGUGAGGUGUCGGCUUAAGUGCCAUAACGAGCGCAACCCUUGUUGUCAGUUACUAACAGGUUCCGCUGAGGACUCUGACAAGACUGCCAUCGUAAGAUGUGAGGAAGGUGGGGAUGACGUCAAAUCAGCACGGCCCUUACGUCCGGGGCUACACACGUGUUACAAUGGGGGGUACAGAGGGCCGCUACCACGCGAGUGGAUGCCAAUCCCCAAAACCUCUCUCAGUUCGGACUGGAGUCUGCAACCCGACUCCACGAAGCUGGAUUCGCUAGUAAUCGCGCAUCAGCCACGGCGCGGUGAAUACGUUCCCGGGCCUUGUACACACCGCCCGUCAAGCCAUGGGAGCCGGGGGUACCUGAAGUGCGUAACCGCGAGGAGCGCCCUAGGGUAAAACUGGUGACUGGGGCUAAG